rnacentral:lncRNA from 1 species
UGUUGGCACAGGCCCGAUCAAGCGUUGUACGCCGGCUCCUUGACGAGUACUUUCCGUCGACCGAACUCGUACGUACAAUACCACGUUGAUCGAUUCUUCCUGAGACAAGGUGCACGUACAAAGCUAGCUAGCAAGCAGCCUAGUAGCUGGAUGGAUUUUACUUGGUGUCAGCUAGCUUCGAAUACUACUCGGUGUCAGCUAGCUUCGAAUACGAGCCAGACCAAGUUGCGGGCGGAACACUGAAAAAUACACGCACGCAAGACAACACUAAGACGCCGAGAUUGAUGGCUACGGGA